rnacentral:misc_RNA from 1 species
AUAUUUAAUGCGUUUUAUAGCAAUAUAUACAUUCUUAACUAAAGUGUAUGUGUAUAAAAAGAAUAGCUUUCUGAAGAGGGGGGAAACUUUUCACCCAAAGGGCUACUUUUUCUCCCCCUUCUCAAAAAAAAGACUAUCUAUGUGCACAGGUGUAUGUGGAUGAGUAGAGCGUGCACAUACCCCAGAGGGCCAGCUACAACUCUUUUAAAACUCGUUAAUGAUCCUUCCGCAGGUUCACCUACGGAAA